GACGAACGCUGGCGGCGUGCUUAACACAUGCAAGUCGAACGGAAAGGCCCUGCUUUUGUGGGGUGCUCGAGUGGCGAACGGGUGAGUAACACGUGAGUAACCUGCCCUUGACUGUGGGAUAACUUCAGGAAACUGGGGCUAAUACCGGAUAGGAGCUGCUGCUGCAUGGGGGGGGUUGGAAAGUUUCGGCGGUGGGGGCUGGACGCGCGGCUUAUCAGCUGGUUGGUGGGGUAGUGGCUUACCAAGGCUUUGACGGGUAGCCGGCCUGAGAGGGUGACCGGCCUCCUUGCGCCUGCGGUACGGCCCAGUCUCCUACGGGAGGCAGCGGUGGGGAAUCUUGCACAGUGGGCCGACGCCUGAUGCAGCAACCCCGCGUGCGGGAUGACGGCCUUCGGGUUGUAAACCGCUUUCGCCUGUGACGAAGCGUGAGUGACGGUACUGGGUAAAGAAGCACCGGCUAACUACGUG
rnacentral:rRNA from 1 species